rnacentral:rRNA from 1 species
AUUACCGAGUUAUCCAACUCCCAACCCCUGUGAAUUAUACCUUUAAUUGUUGCUUCGGCGGGACUUCGCGCCCGCCGGGGACCCAAACCUUCUGAAUUUUUUAAUAAGUAUCUUCUGAGUGGUUAAAAAAAUGAAUCAAAACUUUCAACAACGGAUCUCUUGGUUCUGGCAUCGAUGAAGAACGCAGCGAAAUGCGAUAAGUAAUGUGAAUUGCAGAAUUCAGUGAAUCAUCGAAUCUUUGAACGCACAUUGCGCCCGUCAGUAUUCUGGCGGGCAUGCCUGUUCGAGCGUCAUUACGCCCCUCAAGUCCCCUGUGGACUUGGUGUUGGGGAUCGGCGAGGCUGGUUUUCCAGCACAGCCGUCCCUUAAAUUAAUUGGCGGUCUCGCCGUGGCCCUCCUCUGCGCAGUAGUAAAACACUCGCAACAGGAGCCCGGCGCGGUCCACUGCCGUAAAACCCCCCAACUUUUUAUAGUUGACCUCGAAUCAGGUAGGACUACCCGCUGAACUUAAGCAUAUCAAUAAGCC